UCUGCAAUUUCUGUUUAUUUCUGUUUAUUGCUUUUUUUUUUUUUUCUUUCUUUCUUUCCUGGCUGGACAACAAAUGUUACACCUAACAUUUCAAGUUUAAAGAGUACAAGCUGUUCUUGUAAUGAUCACUGCAUUUAGAGAAAAGCAUUGAAUCUGACAGAUUUGUGUAAGAAACGAGUUUUGUAGUUAAGUGUUUUGUGUUUCUUUAUCUUUGUGCUUACAAUAUCAGUAAUAUAUUUUGCUUGAGUUCUAAAAAUAUAGCCUUUUGGAUUCAGUGGUUAAUGAAAACAGAGUAUUAUACCAUGAAAGGUGACCUAUUGAAGGCAGAGUGCUAAUAAGUUGCAGAUUGUUCAACAUGACCUAAACCCUUUUUUUAUUGAAAAUGAGAUCUACAAAGGUACUUUGUAACAUGUUUCAUAAGGUCUUAAUUUUGCCCAGCACUAACAGGGCCAUUAAAGCUACUUAGAAUCUGGAUUACAAGAAAACAAGGAUAUUUGUCUUCUCUUUUACCUUUUUCUGAAAGUAAAAAUGCAUGCCUUGCAUACUGCCUUAAGAUGUUUUCUAAAGAAACAAAAGAAACUUGCUAAAACCUCCUCUCUGGGGGGAGAUUUACAGAGAAGAAGGCAGGGCCAGGGGGGCAGAGGAUGAGCUGUGGAACUGACUUCCUUUUUUACCAUUAAUUAUGGUUGAUUGUGCAACUCACAAGAGGCCUAAUGGGCACUCUCCUCGUGCAGAUAAGUGGAUGGCAAUGGAGCAGACACAAAAUCCUACACCUCCAUCCCCUGCCUUCAUACCAAAGCAGUUGCAUUUCGCAGUUUCACCCACGCCACAGACUCCUGCAGAAAAGCAGUAGUUACCUCCUCCUCAGCCCGAGACUGGCACCUGCUCCUCAGCACAGCUGACACAAAUCUUGGUCAGCACGAUUCCAUCCUCAGGACAGCACAAGAGCAGCUGUGUGCCUGGUGGCUUGCUUACUCCAGGAAAGAUGUGCAGCUGAGCAGGGAUUUAAGGCAGACUGUUGACUGUCAGGCCUCUGCUCUAACCUCUAGAGCACACUCCAUAAAUGUUUGAAUAUUUAAUAAAAU
rnacentral:lncRNA from 1 species